rnacentral:tRNA from 1 species
GAGCUUUGCUCAGUUGGUAGGGACAAAUGCAUUUUACAUGCAGGGGCCGGGGUUCGAAUCCCGGACACCUCA